rnacentral:rRNA from 1 species
GUCUGGGAUUUCCGAAUGGGGAAACCCACCUGCAUAAGCAGGUAUCUUAGCGUGAAUACAUAGCGCUAAGAGGCGAACUCGGGGAACUGAAACAUCUAAGUACCCGAAGGAAAAGAAAUCAAUUGAGAUUCCGGCAGUAGCGGCGAGCGAACCCGGAGCAGCCCUUAAGCGGCUUAGGCGUUAGGUGAACAGGUUGGAAAACCUGGCAAUAAAGGGUGAUAGCCCCGUAACCGACAGCGCCUUAGYCGUGAAAACGAGUAGGACGGGACACGUGAUAUCUUGUCUGAACAUGGGGGGACCAUCCUCCAAGGCUAAAUACUCCUGACUGACCGAUAGUGAACCAGUACCGUGAGGGAAAGGCGAAAAGAACCCCUGUGAGGGGAGUGAAAUAGAACCUGAAACCGUCUACGUACAAGCAGUGGGAGCCUCUUCGUGGGGUGACCGCGUACCUUUUGUAUAAUGGGUCAGCGAC